AGUGAACGCUGGCGGCGUGCUUAACACAUGCAAGUCGAACGAGAACGGAAUAUAGCUUGCUAUAUUUGUCAGCUAAGUGGCGCACGGGUGAGUAAUGUAUAGAUAACCUGCCCUUAAGAAAGGAAUAACAGUUGGAAACGACUGCUAAUGCCCUAUAUGCCUUUAAUACAUAAGUAUGCAAGGGAAACGCUUUAGUGCUUAAGGAUGGGUCUGUAUGGUAUCAGCUUGUUGGUGAGGUAAUGGCUCACCAAGGCUAUGACGCCUAACUGGUUUGAGAGGAUGAUCAGUCACACUGGAACUGAGACACGGUCCAGACUCCUACGGGAGGCAGCAGUGGGGAAUAUUGCACAAUGGACGAAAGUCUGAUGCAGCAACGCCGCGUGGAGGAUGACACAUUUCGGUGCGUAAACUCCUUUUAUAUAGGAAGAUAAUGACGGUACUAUAUGAAAAAGCACCGGCUAACUCCGUGCCAGCAGCCGCAGAAACAC
rnacentral:rRNA from 1 species